rnacentral:lncRNA from 1 species
GUUCCCAGUGGGUACGGCCACCCAAGGGAGGAACUCGACCAAUAGGUCCAAGGAGGCAACUGCAGAUUAGUUUAAUAAACAGAUAGAUAGAUAUUUGACUAUGCAAUUAAUAAAACCAUACAUUGCCUCGCUAAUGCAAUAUGAAUAUUAUGCAACUAUGCAACUGCAUAAUCAACUAGUAGAUAUGUUAAUUCUACAUUUACUUUGCUACUUUAGCUCAUUUCAUUCAAUUGUAAGGUUUCCAUUACCUUAUGUUCACAACUCAAGUUCAACUUGCUUCUAAGGUCUCUAUUACCUCAGGUUCUUGCCUCGAUCACUAGCUUAUAAGGUU